CCUACGGGAGGCUGCAGUGGGGAAUAUUGGACAAUGGGGGCAACCCUGAUCCAGCCAUGCCGCGUGUGUGAAGAAGGCCCUCGGGUUGUAAAGCACUUUCAGUGAGGAAGAACGCCUGGUGGUUAAUACCCAUCAGGAAAGACAUCACUCACAGAAGAAGCACCGGCUAACUCCGUGCCAGCAGCCGCGGUAAUACGGAGGGUGCGAGCGUUAAUCGGAAUUACUGGGCGUAAAGCGCGCGUAGGUGGCUUGAUAAGCCGGUUGUGAAAGCCCCGAGCUCAACCUGGGAACGGCAUCCGGAACUGUCAAGCUAGAGUGCAGGAGAGGAAGGUAGAAUUCCCGGUGUAGCGGUGAAAUGCGUAGAGAUCGGGAGGAAUACCAGUGGCGAAGGCGGCCUUCUGGACUGACACUGACACUGAGGUGCGAAAGCGUGGGUAGCAAACAGGAUUAGAUACCCCUGUAGUC
rnacentral:rRNA from 1 species